ACCGCGAUAGCUCAGCUGGUAGAGCAUCUGUCUGGUAUGCGGAGGGUCGCCAUUUCGAUUCCGGCUCGCGGCG
rnacentral:tRNA from 1 species